AGAUGAAUGAAGAAAUGGAAAAGAGAAAUGAAAUCCGUAUAAGAAAAGCACGAAAUGAAACUAUAAAAGAAUGUAUUGCAUUAGGAAUUGACAGUGUACAGUAAGAGAUGGGAAGUUUUCUCAGUUGCCUCCAGUUCGUGUAAUUCUGAUUGAUCUGGGAAGAAAGAACUUAUGCCCAUGUAAUAUGAUAUAACUGUAACAGUUAGCUAAGGGAAAUGUAAGUUGUUUCUGUGCUUUAAAAAUUUCGACUUCCUUCACAUUAAGUUUCAAGUUGAUAGCUAAUGAAAUGCUUGAUUCUGCAUCACAUGGUCCAUCAGUGUAAAUAAAAUAGUGCCUUUUGUGUAUACCUAUCUGAACUGUGUACUGUCGCCCACCAACUCUAUUACCAACUCUGUAGUAAAAUGUUUUGGUAUUUGGUGAAUAUUUUUUCAAGCUGAACAACUAAAAAGCUUAUAUUGUACCAAUAAAACUUUGGUUGAUUUUA